rnacentral:rRNA from 2 species
UUAAGCGACUAAGCGUACACGGUGGAUGCCCUGGCAGUCAGAGGCGAUGAAGGACGUGCUAAUCUGCGAAAAGCGUCGGUAAGGUGAUAUGAACCGUUAUAGCCGGCGAUGUCCGAAUGGGGAAACCCAGUGCAAUUCGUUGCACUAUCGUUAACUGAAUACAUAGGUUAACGAGGCGAACCGGGGGAACUGAAACAUCUAAGUACCCCGAGGAAAAGAAAUCAACCGAGAUUCCCCCAGUAGCGGCGAGCGAACGGGGAGCAGCCCGGAGUCUGAAUCAGCUUGUGUGUUUAGUGGAAGCGUCUGGAAAGUCGCAGGGUACAGGGUGAUACUCCCGUACACUAAAACACACAGGUUGUGAACUCGAAGAGUAGGGCGGGACACGUGGUAUCCUGUCUGAAUAUGGGGGGACCAUCCUCCAAGGCUAAAUACUCCUGACUGACCGAUAGUGAACCAGUACCGUGAGGGAAAGGCGAAAAGAACCCCGGCGAGGGGAGUGAAAAAGAACCUGAAACCGUGUACGUACAAGCAGUAGGAGCCCACUAGUUGGGUGACUGCGUACCUUUUGUAUAAUGGGUCAGCGACUUAUAUUCUGUAGCAAGGUUAACCGUAUAGGGGAGCCGCAGGGAAACCGAGUCUUAACUGGGCGUUAAGUUGCAGGGUAUAGACCCGAAACCCGGUGAUCUAGCCAUGGGCAGGUUGAAGGUUGGGUAACACUAACUGGAGGACCGAACCGACUAAUGUUGAAAAAUUAGCGGAUGACUUGUGGCUGGGGGUGAAAGGCCAAUCAAACCGGGAGAUAGCUGGUUCUCCCCGAAAGCUAUUUAGGUAGCGCCUCGUGAACUCAUCUUCGGGGGUAGAGCACUGUUUCGGCUAGGGGGUCAUCCCGACUUACCAACCCGAUGCAAACUACGAAUACCGAAGAAUGUCUAUCACGGGAGACACACGGCGGGUGCUAACGUCCGUCGUGAAGAGGGAAACAACCCAGACCGCCAGCUAAGGUCCCAAAAGUCAUGGUUAAGUGGGAAACGAUGUGGGAAGGCCCAGACAGCCAGGAUGUUGGCUUAGAAGCAGCCAUCAUUUAAAGAAAGCGUAAUAGCUCACUGGUCGAGUCGGCCUGCGCGGAAGGAUGUAACGGGGCUAAACCAUGCACCGAAGCUGCGGCAGCGACACUAUGUGUUGUUGGGGUAGGGGAGCGUUCUGUAAGCCGUUGAAGGGUGGCCUGUGAGGGUUGCUGGAGGUAUCAGAAGUGCGAAUGCUGACAUAAGUAACGAUAAUGCGGGGUGAAAAACCCGCACGCCGGAAGACCAAGGGUUCCUGUCCAACGUUAAUCGGGGCAGGGUGAGUCGACCCCUAAGGCGAGGCCGAAAGGCGUAGUCGAUGGGAAACAGGUUAAUAUUCCUGUACUCGGUGUUACUGCGAAGGGGGGGACGGAGAAGGCUAUGUUGGCCGGGCGACGGUUGUCCCGGUUUAAGCAUGUAGGCGGAUGUUCCAGGUAAAUCCGGAACGUCACUUAACGCUGAGGUGUGAUGACGAGGCACUACGGUGCUGGAAGUGACAAAUGCCCUGCUUCCAGGAAAAGCCUCUAAGCAUCAGGUAACAUCAAAUCGUACCCCAAACCGACACAGGUGGUCAGGUAGAGAAUACCAAGGCGCUUGAGAGAACUCGGGUGAAGGAACUAGGCCAAAAUGGUGCCGUAACUUCGGGAGAAGGCACGCUGAUGGUAGGUGAAGUGACUUGCUCAUGGAGCUGAAAUCAGUCGAAGAUACCAGCUGGCUGCAAACUGUUUAUUAAAAACACCAGCACUGUGCAAACACGAAAGUGGACGUAUACGGUGUGACGCCUGCCCGGUGCCGGAAGGUUAAUUGAUGGGGUUAUCCGUAAGGAGAAGCUCUUGAUCGAAGCCCCGGUAAACGGCGGCCGUAACUAUAACGGUCCUAAGGUAGCGAAAUUCCUUGUCGGGUAAGUUCCGACCUGCACGAAUGGCGUAAUGAUGGCCAGGCUGUCUCCACCCGAGACUCAGUGAAAUUGAACUCGCUGUGAAGAUGCAGUGUACCCGCGGCAAGACGGAAAGACCCCGUGAACCUUUACUAUAGCUUGACACUGAACACUGGUCCUUGAUGUGUAGGAUAGGUGGGAGGCUUUGAAGUGUGGACGCCAGUCUGCAUGGAGCCAUCCUUGAAAUACCACCCUUUAAUGGCUGGUGUUCUAACGUGGGCCCCUAAUCGGGGUUGCGGACAGUGUCUGGUGGGUAGUUUGACUGGGGCGGUCUCCUCCUAAAGAGUAACGGAGGAGCACGAAGGUCAGCUAAUCCUGGUCGGACAUCAGGAGGUUAGUGCAAUGGCAUAAGCUGGCUUGACUGCGAGCGUGACGGCGCGAGCAGGUGCGAAAGCAGGUCAUAGUGAUCCGGUGGUUCUGAAUGGAAGGGCCAUCGCUCAACGGAUAAAAGGUACUCCGGGGAUAACAGGCUGAUACCGCCCAAGAGUUCAUAUCGACGGCGGUGUUUGGCACCUCGAUGUCGGUCAUCACAUCCUGGGGCUGAAGUAGGUCCCAAGGGUAUGGCUGUUCGCCAUUUAAAGUGGUACGCGAGCUGGGUUUAGAACGUCGUGAGACAGUUCGGUCCCUAUCUGCCGUGGGCGCUGGAGAAUUGAGGGGGGCUGCUCCUAGUACGAGAGGACCGGAGUGGACGCAUCACUGGUGUUCGGGUUGUCAUGCCAAUGGCAUUGCCCGGUAGCUAAAUGCGGAAGAGAUAAGUGCUGAAAGCAUCUAAGCACGAAACUUGCCCCGAGAUGAGUUCUCCCUGACUCCUUGAGAGUCCUGAAGGAACGUUGAAGACGACGACGUUGAUAGGCCGGGUGUGUAAGCGCAGCGAUGCGUUGAGCUAACCGGUACUAAUGAACCGUGAGGCUUAACCUU